CUGCCAGUCUGACUGCAGCUGAGCCUGCACUGACUAAGUCCACCAAGGAUGCUGCCAGUCUGACUGCAGCUGAGCCUGCGCCGACUAAGUCCACCAAUGCCGCCGACAGUCUGACUGCAGUUGAGCCUGUGCCGACUAAGUCCACCAAUGCCGCUGACAGUCUGACUGCAGUUGAGCCUGUGCCGACUAAGUCUACCAUUGCCGCUGACAGUCUGGCUGCAGAUGAGCCUGCGCCGACUAAGUCCACCACUGCCGCUGAAGGUCUGACUGCAGAUGAGCCUGCGCCGACUAAGUCCACCACUGCCGCUGACGGUCUGACUGCAGAUGAGCCCGAGAUGUCCCUUACAUAUGCUGCUGACAGUACUGUGUCAGGUGACUCAGGACCAGCUAGUCACAUUGGAUUGGAUUAUGUAGUUGAUUUACCUCUUUACAAGGAGAGUACAAGUGAAGAAGAAAUAUUUUAUACUGCUUCUUCAGAUAAGGAAUCUUCUUUUAUUCCUGACAUAGAAGAAGGUCUGCCUGCUACUCAGGCACCUGUUGAUAAUUUUGAUGCUUCUGUGUCAGCUGAACCAAUAAACCACAGCAUGAACCCUCUCAGGGUGGGUGGAUAUCUUCGGGCACCAGCGAUAGCACACAUCCCCUUUUUGCCUUUUAUAUGGCUUGUAUCCUCACUUUUCUCUGUCAUAACAUGGAUGAAAAUCCAAAUUCAACAUGCAUGGCAUGAAGAAAAUGGCCAAGGAGCUCCUACUGACAAAAAAGUUGGAUCAGUGGCUGCGGCUCCUGAUCCCUAGACCCUUGAUGUUCCUCCAGGAUCGAUUGGAAUGCCACAGCAGUCUGUGUGGGAGAAUUGAUCAUAUAUAUAAAUUGUAGAGUUAAAGGUAUAAUGUGAUAGUAGACUGAAGUAAAAAUUUAUUGUUUCACUGGAGACUCAGUUGUGCCAUGUGAUGC
ensembl:lncRNA